ACUCCUACGGGAGGCAGCAGUGGGGAAUAUUGCACAAUGGGCGCAAGCCUGAUGCAGCCAUGCCGCGUGUAUGAAGAAAGGCCUUCGGGUUGUAAGUACUUUCAGCAGUGAGGAAGGUGGGUAUGUUAAUAGCAUAUUCAUUUUGACGUUUAGCUGCAGAAGAAGCACCGGCUAACUCCGUGCCAGCAGCCGCGGUAAUACGGAGGGUGCGAGCGUUAAAUCGGAAUUACUGGGCGUAAAGCGCAUGCAGGUGGUUUGUUAAGUCAGAAUGUGAAAGCCCGGGGCGUCAACCUCGGAAUUAGCAUUUGAAACUUGGCAAACUAGAGUACUGUANAGGGGGUAGAAG
rnacentral:rRNA from 1 species